rnacentral:rRNA from 1 species
UACAGAGGGUGCAAGCGUUAAUCGGAAUUACUGGGCGUAAAGGGCGCGUAGGCGGCCCGCUAAGUCGAACGUGAAAUCCCCAGGCUCAACCUGGGAACUGCGUCCGAUACUGGCAGGCUUGAAUCCGGGAGAGGGAUGUGGAAUUCCAGGUGUAGCGGUGAAAUGCGUAGAUAUCUGGAGGAACACCGGUGGCGAAGGCGGCAUCCUGGACCGGUAUUGACGCUUGAGGCGCGGAAAAGCCAGGGGGAGCAAACAGGGAUUAAGAAACC